AAUCAACGCUGGCGGCGUGCCUAACACAUGCAAGUCGAACGAGAAAGGGGCUUCGGUCCCUGAGUACAGUGGCGCACGGGUGAGUAACACGUGACUUAUCUACCCUCGAGUGGGGAAUAACUUCGGGAAACCGAGGCUAAUACCGCAUAAUACCCACGGGUCAAAGGAGCAAUUCGCUUGAGGAGGAGGUCGCGGCCGAUUAGUUAGUUGGCGGGGUAAUGGCCCCACCCAAGACGGUGAUCGGUAUCCGGCCUGAGAGGGCGCACGGACACACUGGAACUGAAACACGGUCCAGACUCCUACGGGAGGCAGCAGUGGGGAAUUUUGCGCAAUGGGGGAAACCCUGACGCAGCAACGCCGCGUGGAGGAUGAAGUCUCUUGGGACGUAAACUCCUUUCGAUCGGGACGAUUAUGACGGUACCGGAAGAAGAAGCCCCGGCUAACUUCGUG
rnacentral:rRNA from 1 species